GAUGAACGCUGGCGGCGUGCCUAAUACAUGCAAGUCGAGCGAACAGACGAGGAGCUUGCUCCUUCGACGUUAGCGGCGGACGGGUGAGUAACACGUAGGUAACCUACCUAUAAGACUGGGAUAACUUCGGGAAACCGGAGCUAAUACCGGAUAAUAUUUCGAACCGCAUGGUUCGAUAGUGAAAGAUGGCUUUGCUAUCACUUAUAGAUGGACCUGCGCCGUAUUAGCUAGUUGGUAAGGUAACGGCUUACCAAGGCAACGAUACGUAGCCGACCUGAGAGGGUGAUCGGCCACACUGGAACUGAGACGCGGUCCAGACUCCUACGGGAGGCAGCAGUAGGGAAUCUUACGCAGUGGGCGAAAGCCUGACGGAGCAACGCCGCGUGAGUGAUGAAGGUCUUCGGAUCGUAAAGCUCUGUUAUUAGGGAAGAACAAACGUGUAAGUAACUGUGCACGGCUUGACGGUACCUAAUCAGAAAGCCACGGCUAACUACGUG
rnacentral:rRNA from 1 species